UACGAAGGGUGCAAGCGUUACUCGGAAUUACUGGGCGUAAAGGGUGCGUAGGUGGUUUGUUAAGUCUGCUGUGAAAUCCCCGGGCUCAACCUGGGAAUGGCAGUGGAUACUGGCAAGCUAGAGUGCGGUAGAGGGUAGUGGAAUUCCCGGUGUAGCAGUGAAAUGCGUAGAGAUCGGGAGGAACACCAGUGGCGAAGGCGGCUACCUGGACCAGCACUGACACUGAAGCACGAAAGCGUGGGUAGCAAACAGG
rnacentral:rRNA from 1 species